rnacentral:tRNA from 1 species
AGAGAAAUAGCUCAGUGGCAGAGCACAUGCCUAGCAUGCACGAGGUCCUGCAUUCAAUCUCCAAUCUCUCCA